CCUACGGGAGGCAGCAGUGAGGAAUAUUGGUCAAUGGGCGCGAGCCUGAACCAGCCAAGCCGCGUGAGGGAAGACGGUCCUAUGGAUUGUAAACCUCUUUUGUCGGGGAGCAAAAGACGCCACGUGUGGCGUUCCGAGAGUACCCGAAGAAAAAGCAUCGGCUAACUCCGUGCCAGCAGCCGCGGUAAUACGGAGGAUGCGAGCGUUAUCCGGAUUUAUUGGGUUUAAAGGGUGCGCAGGCGGAAGGUCAAGUCAGCGGUAAAAUUGAGAGGCUCAACCUCUUCGAGCCGUUGAAACUGGUAGUCUUGAGUGGGCGAGAAGUAUGCGGAAUGCGUGGUGUAGCGGUGAAAUGCAUAGAUAUCACGCAGAACUCCGAUUGCGAAGGCAGCAUACCGGCGCUCAACUGACGCUCAUGCACGAAAGUGUGGGGAUCGAACAGGAUUAGAUACCCGAGUAGUC
rnacentral:rRNA from 1 species